GCACUUUUUGCCGGGCUGCGCGCCCAGGUCUGUGCGCCAUUUUCAGGGAGGCCGACUUGAGAGAGCUCAUUUUUGAGACCCUCCGGACGGGGUGAUUGUGGAGCUCUUCUUGUCUCUUGGCUGCUCAGGACAAGCCUCUUGCUUAGAAACCUGUCACCUAUCCAUCCCGAAUGAUCGGCCUCUUUCUUGGACCUCGCAGUCUCUUCUGAUAGGCGUCUUUGGGAGCCAUUUUCAGAUUUCACACCAGGAACUACCAAAUUUGUGAACUAAAAGAAAGGUGCCCAAAGUCUAGGAAAGCAGCCUGUUAUGAGUUUCUUCCCACAGGCCAGAAAGGGACCCUCCCUAUGGCAUAUUGUAGAACUGAACCAGCACAGUAAGGUUUUAUUUCUCUACAAAUGGAGUCACCAACUCAGCUGUUUCCCUGGGAGAUCAUUCAACUUCGAUUCUACUCUGCUGUGGAUUGACUUGUGUCCCUCCAAAAUUCUUGUGUUAAAUCCCUACCCAAAGUGAUUAUAUUUGGACAAAGGACCUACAAGGAGAUAAUUAAGGUUAAAUGAGGCCACAAGGUGGAGCCCUGAUCCAGUGGAUUAGUGUCCUCAUUAGAAGAGACAAUUGAGAGUUUGCUCCCCAUCUCUUCCCGUGGCACAAAAAAGUUGUGACCAGAAAGUGAGAUGAUGGCUGUGUGCAAGCUAGGAAGAAAGCUCUCACCAGAAACCAAACUAUCUGGCACCUUCAUUUUGUACUUCUCAGCUUUCAAAAAUAAAUUUAUGUUGUUUAAGGCCCA
rnacentral:lncRNA from 1 species